AACGAACGCUGGCGGCAUGCCUAACACAUGCAAGUCGAACGAGACCUUCGGGUCUAGUGGCGCACGGGUGCGUAACACGUGGGAAUCUGCCCUUGGGUUCGGAAUAACAGUUGGAAACGACUGCUAAUACCGGAUGAUGACGUAAGUCCAAAGAUUUAUCGCCCAAGGAUGAGCCCGCGUCGGAUUAGCUAGUUGGUGGGGUAAAGGCCUACCAAGGCGACGAUCCGUAGCUGGUCUGAGAGGAUGAUCAGCCACACUGGGACUGAGACACGGCCCAGACUCCUACGGGAGGCAGCAGUGGGGAAUAUUGGACAAUGGGCGAAAGCCUGAUCCAGCAAUGCCGCGUGAGUGAUGAAGGCCUUAGGGUUGUAAAGCUCUUUUACCCGGGAUGAUAAUGACAGUACCGGGAGAAUAAGACCCCCGGCUAACUCCGUGCCAGCAGCCGCCGUAA
rnacentral:rRNA from 1 species